rnacentral:rRNA from 1 species
UACGUAGGUGGCAAGCGUUAUCCGGAAUUAUUGGGCGUAAAGCGCGCGCAGGCGGUCCUUUAAGUCUGAUGUGAAAGCCCACGGCUCAACCGUGGAGGGUCAUUGGAAACUGGGGGACUUGAGUGCAGAAGAGGAGAGCGGAAUUCCACGUGUAGCGGUGAAAUGCGUAGAGAUGUGGAGGAACACCAGUGGCGAAGGCGGCUCUCUGGUCUGUAACUGACGCUGAGGCGCGAAAGCGUGGGGGAGCGAACAGG